GGUGAGUAACACGUGGGUGAUCUGCCCUGCACUUUGGGAUAAGCCUGGGAAACUGGGUCUAAUACCGGAUAGGACCACGGCAUUCAUGUGCUGUGGUGGAAAGCUUUUGCGGUGUGGGAUGGGCCCGCGGCCUAUCAGCUUGUUGGUGGGGUAAUGGCCUACCAAGGCGACGACGGGUAGCCGGCCUGAGAGGGUGACCGGCCACACUGGGACUGAGAUACGGCCCAGACUCCUACGGGAGGCAGCAGUGGGGAAUAUUGCACAAUGGGCGCAAGCCUGAUGCAGCGACGCCGCGUGAGGGAUGACGGCCUUCGGGUUGUAAACCUCUUUCGCCAGGGACGAAGCGCAAGUGACGGUACCUGGAGAAGAAGGACCGGCCAACUACGUGCCAGCAGCCGCGGUAAUACGUAGGGUCCGAGCGUUGUCCGGAAUUACUGGGCGUAAAGAGCUCGUAGGUGGUUUGUCGCGUUGUUCGUGAAAACUCACAACUCAAUUGUGGGCGUGCGGGCGAUACGGGCAGACUGGAGUACUGCAGGGGAGACUGGAAUUCCUGGUGUAGCGGUGGAAUGCGCAGAUAUCAGGAGGAACACCGGUGGCGAAGGCGGGUCUCUGGGCA
rnacentral:rRNA from 1 species